rnacentral:rRNA from 1 species
GACGAACGCUGGCGGCGUGCUUAACACAUGCAAGUCGAACGAUGAAGAAGAGAAACGCGAACUUCGGUUCAAAUUUCACUUCGGAUUAGUGGCAGACGGGUGAGUAACGCGUGAGCAACCUACCUCUUACAAAGGGAUAGCCUCGGGAAACCGUGAUUAAUACCAUAUGACACAUUCAUAAGGCAUCUUAAGAAUGUUAAAGCUACGGCGGUAAGAGAUGGGCUCGCGUCCCAUUAGCUAGUUGGUGAGGUAACGGCCCACCAAGGCGACGAUGGGUAACCGGCCUGAGAGGGUGGACGGUCACAUUGGAACUGAGACACGGUCCAAACUCCUACGGGAGGCAGCAGUGGGGAAUAUUGCACAAUGGAGGGAACUCUGAUGCAGCGACGCCGCGUGAGCGAUGAAGGAAUUCGUUUCGUAAAGCUCUGUUCUAUGGGAAGAAAAGGACUGUACCAUAGGAGAAAGCCCCGGCUAAAUACGUG